CCUACGGGAGGCAGCAGUGGGGAAUAUUGCACAAUGGGGGAAACCCUGAUGCAGCGACGCCGCGUGAGUGAAGAAGUAUUUCGGUAUGUAAAGCUCUAUCAGCAGGAAUGAGACAAGACGGUACCUGACUAAGAAGCCCCGGCUAACUACGUGCCAGCAGCCGCGGUAAUACGUAGGGGGCAAGCGUUAUCCGGAUUUACUGGGUGUAAAGGGAGCGUAGACGGCGGUGCAAGCCAGGUGUGAAAGCCCGGGGCUCAACCCCGGGACUGCAUUUGGAACUGUGCUGCUAGAGUGUCGGAGAGGCAGGCGGAAUUCCUGGUGUAGCGGUGAAAUGCGUAGAUAUUAGGAGGAACACCAGUGGCGAAGGCGGCCUGCUGGAC
rnacentral:rRNA from 1 species